rnacentral:rRNA from 1 species
GGUUUUUCUAUAGAGUCCUUCAUUGAAGGCACUGUAUGGGGAAAUCUUUCCUUCUGGUUAACUAUUGUGCCAUUCAGUUGGUGCGAUAGGGACCCAGGACUUUUACUUUGAAAAAAUUAGAGUGUUUAAAGCAGGCUUACGCUUGAAUACAUUAGCAUGGAAUAAUAAAAUAGGACUUUGGUUUUAUUUUGUUGGUUUCUAAGACCAAAGUA